rnacentral:rRNA from 1 species
AUUGAACGCUGGCGGCAUGCCUUACACAUGCAAGUCGAACGGCAGCAUGGAGAGCUUGCUCUCUGAUGGCGAGUGGCGAACGGGUGAGUAAUGCAUCGGAACGUACCGUGUAAUGGGGGAUAACGUAGCGAAAGUUACGCUAAUACCGCAUACGACCUGAGGGUGAAAGCAGGGGAUCGCAAGACCUUGCGUUAUACGAGCGGCCGAUGUCGGAUUAGCUAGUUGGUGAGGUAAAGGCUCACCAAGGCGACGAUCUGUAGCGGGUCUGAGAGGAUGAUCCGCCACACUGGGACUGAGACACGGCCCAGACUCCUACGGGAGGCAGCAGUGGGGAAUUUUGGACAAUGGGGGCAACCCUGAUCCAGCCAUGCCGCGUGAGUGAAGAAGGCCUUCGGGUUGUGAAGCUCUUUCGGCCGGGAAGAAAUCGCACAGGCUAAUACUCUGUGUGGAUGACGGUACCGGCAUAAGAAGCACCGGCUAACUACGUGCCAGCCGCCGCAGUAA